GCAUAUUCAUUAAACGUUUCGAUGUUUGGUCACGUGCGGCACAUGGGCUGUACAAGCAACUAGUAAUGCACUAUAGAUUAAACAAAAAAAGUCACCUGUAGUUCGAUACUAAACGAUUCUUCAUUUUAUUAUGGAUUCCCUGUGAUCUCUGAUACGUAACCAGAGGAAAAGAAGCUUAAAAUAUUCCUCAGCUCAAAAUCGGAAUUCUUUCCCCUUCUAAACAAAGAAAUGAUUGGAGCUAGAGUUGUAGGGAGAACUCAUAAAAGAGAACCCCUCAAAAAAUAGGCGUAUGCCACUAAAUGCAGCGCGCACACGGUAUUCUUUAGUAAAAGGCGAAAGAAUAGUUCGCUUUGUGCUCACUGCGUGGCUGCGUGAGUUAUACAAUGUUAAUGCUUCCCUUUUUAUAUUGUUAGAAUGUUUGGUUUUACUCUUUAUUUUCGAUGUGGUAUGGGCAUCACUCUUCUUUCCCUCAAGGCUUCAGUAUUUUCUCUCCUAUCCUCCUUUUGUUCUUCUCCCUCUUCACAAGUCCUGCAAUUACUAUAUGUUUGAAAAUUUACAUGUUCCAAAAUAUAAACAACUUAUGCGGUUCGGCAUGCUUUGUAAUGUAGCUUCAGUUUAUAGGUGUUUUUGAAGAUAUAUAUGCUCACAAGCUGAUCAACGAAAUGCUGCACAGAAUGAUUUGGGCUAACUUAAAGUAAGCUCAUCUUUUGGCAACAGAAAGUACCAAGCUGGAAUAUUUCAACCCUCAAAGUAACUUUCUAACGCUACUCAUUUUGUUGCAGCCAACAUUCUAGCAGAUAAAGUGGGUCCUCUUUUACUAGAACUAUUUC
rnacentral:lncRNA from 1 species